rnacentral:lncRNA from 1 species
GCAAAAGCUUGGACUGAGAGUAGGAGGAAGGAAGUUGCUUGUUAUUUUGAAUAAGCAAGCUUCAUGAAUAAAAUGCUGACCUACUGUCUGCUCUCCACACUGCUACACUGGUUAGCACACUGUAAUUGCAAAACACUUUGCUAGAGCCUUUUGCCGAAUUUCCCUCAAAAGAGGCAAGUUUUGAUUUUUUUUUUUUUUUGUCAAGCAUAUACCCUCCGAUUUAGCUGUUCACCAUCUUUGUAAUCUACUGGGACUGUGAUGUAACCUCUGGCAUCUAAGAUUCUUCAGGCUUGUUAAUAACCACCAGCUACAGCUGAGAGAAAAGCAAGAAUGCAAGGUUUGGAUAGAUAAUGGCAGUGGAAGGAAGGAGCUGGGAAGAUAAUUAAAACAAUGACAUUCUAAGGUAGCUGAAGUUUCCCUUUUAUUGAAAAUAUUUGAGAAUCUUUAGGAUCUCCAAUUUUCUGCUCUCAGUAAUUUUUCUCAACAAAUUAUUCCACUACUGCCUCACGGAAGCAUAAACCACUGUCUCCAGUGCUUGGAGAAAUCACAAAAUUUCAAAAAACAGCCACAAUCAUUGUUUUCAAAAAAUGUAUGUUAAAAUUAAUUUAUAGUUAAGUUUACUUUUUACCCUUUAUAUCAGAAGAGGCCAUUUAUUAUUUAUUUAUUUCAGAAUUAUUUCUUUCCUAUUUUUAUUGUAUGUAUUUAUCAUGUACAACAUGAUGUUUUGAAGUAAGUAUACAUUGUGGAAUGGCUAAAUCAAGCUAAGCAUAUGCAUUACCUCACAUACUUAUCUUUUUUUUGUGGUGAGAACACUUAACAUCUACUCUCAUGUUUGAGUUCCUUAUGUAUGUUAGAUAUUAACUCCUUAUCAGAUAUAGUUUGAAAAUACUUUCUACCUUUUGUUGUCUGUGUUGGCAAUUUUCAAGAAUACAAUACAUUGUUAUUAACUAUAGUCAUCACAUUGUACAAUCGGGUCUCUUGAAUUUAUUCCUUCUGUCUAACUGAAAUUUUGUAUCCUUUGACCAACAUCUCUCUAAUCCCAUUCUACUCUCUACAUCUAUGAGUUCAGCUUUGUCUAUUAUACACACAAGUGAGAUCGUGUAGUGUUUGCCUUUCUCUUCCUGGCUUAUUUCAAUCCUGCAGUUCCAUCCAUGUUGUCACAAAUGAUAAGAUUUUCUUCUUUAUAAAGGCUGUAUAGUUCUUCAUCAUGUAGAUGCACCACAUUUUAAAAAAUCCUUUCAUCCAUUGGUGGACACUGAGAUUAUUUCCAUAUCUUGGUUUGGAACAGGAAUUAAAGGAAAUUAAAGAAUGUGUAAG